GGUUGCCAUAAUAUCAGUAUUAAUGCAUUGGAUUUCAUCAAAUCUUCAUAAUUAAAUGUGUUUGAAUGAGAAUAGUAUUAAGAUAGGUGACUCACCCAGAAAUUCUUAUAUUGCAUGUG
rfam:Gossypium raimondii chromosome 2, whole genome shotgun sequence.